CCUCUGCCUUCUCCCUCUCCCCUCUCCCCUGUCGCCUCUGCCCUGCUCCCUUCUCUGUCCUGGGCUUCUGCCCCCCUCACCGCUCUCUGCAUCCACUCCAGCUUUUCCCCCCUUCACUUUCUCCAAACAGUGAUUUUUUGAAACUAAUAUCAACAAGAUCAGGACAACUGCAAUCACUUUACCCGACUUGUCAGUUUCCUAUUUAGAAAAUUCAGACUAUGGAGUGGAAUUGGCUCCUCAUGGGACCCAUGGGACUUUCUGGGCAGGACACUUCCUUGAUCACAUCCCCAGUUUUCCACCCAGGACUUUGUGAAAACUCCUCCAGGCCUGGCUCUUGUGUGCUGGACCUUCUCUUGCGUGGUUAGUUGUAAAACUUGAUGCUUCUGCAGGCAGAUGAUGGCAGAAAGCUCCCACCCCACCACGCUGAUGACGGCAGAAAGCUCCCGCCCCACCACGCUGAUGACGGCAGAAAGCUCCCGCCCCACCACGCUGAUGAUGGCACUCUCGUUGGGUGGUUGUGUGGUCUUCAUACAAUUUCAGGGUAAAUCGCCACUUGAUGUCAUUGCUAAAUGGGAUACCUGAGCUAUGAUGAUUUUGCCUGAUUGUUAAAGUUAGUAUUUUAAGACCAAAGAUGGACAAAAUACGUUAAAAUUGUCUGUAAAAAGGCACAUUUCUGAAUUUGCUUUUAAUACUUUAAAAGAUAUAAAGCUGUUGUAUUAUAACAGGAAGGAUUGCUACAAGAACAGAUCUGUCAGAAAACAAAACCGCAUCUUGAAUUGAAAUGGAAAAUGAAAUUUAGCUACACUUCGUA
ensembl:lncRNA LINC01865 long intergenic non-protein coding RNA 1865